GGGUGAGUAACACGUGGAUAACCUACCUAUAAGACUGGGAUAACUUCGGGAAACCGGAGCUAAUACCGGAUAAUAUUUUGAACCGCAUGGUUAAAAAGUGAAAGACGGUCUUGCUGUCACUUAUAGAUGGAUCCGCGCUGCAUUAGCUAGUUGGUAAGGUAACGGCUUACCAAGGCAACGAUGCAUAGCCGACCUGAGAGGGUGAUCGGCCACACUGGAACUGAGACACGGUCCAG
rnacentral:rRNA from 1 species